UCAGGGCUGGGGAUUUAGCUCAGUGGUUCUGGCGCCUGCCUCACAACCGAAAUUUCCCGAGUUCAAUCCCCGAUACCAAAACAAACAAACAAACAAACAAAAAGAUUUAAUUUUCCAAGUGAGGCAUUUAAAUUGUACAAGCAAUGAAUCUUUUAAAAACUGAAUGUAAAACCAUUCAGGAUAAUUUUUCUUGUCAGUGGAUAGUGGCAAACAGAGGAGAUCCCAUCUCCAGGAACCAGCCAUUCAGGCAAAAUCCUUUUUUUGUGAAUCAAUAUUUCUCACAGUAAAUGUGGCGUAAGCCGCUCUGACACUAGUGAAAAGGGUAUAUACAACUCUGCAGCGUUGGGCCAGGAUACUAUUUCAUAUUUAACAAAGGGAGGGGAGUGAAGUGUUUUCCAAGGCCUUAUUUCUUUCUCAGAAUGCUUUCAGUGUUGAUUGUAUGUGCUGGGUCUCUAGAGAAGUUUUUGUUACAAUCCUGCUGCUUUGAGCAAUUUUGUUUUUCUUCGUUGUCUGUGAAGGAAAUCACCAGCUUUGCCAUCUUAACAACAAACAUGGGAAAGUUUAUUUCUAACAUGCACCUUUAGAGUCAAAUACACCUUUCCCUUGUACUCCUUAUGUACAGCCAAAGAACACACAUUAUAAAAAUCAUAUAUCUGAAAACACAGCCUUUUCCUCUGACAGGUGACUUUUGUACAAAAUGCCAAAAAAAAAAACCUAAACAUUUUUUGUUGUUCUUUUGUGAUUAUGGCUAUACCAUUAGUAGUCUUUACAGUUUCUAACAGGACCUACUGACAAGUGCAAAUGUGACCAUCUCAUUCACAUGUUUGUUGUUAGGAUGCAGAUGGAUAUUGGUUUCAGUAGAAGCUGGAUCCUUACAAAUUCUGUUGUAAUAUUUCUGUUAAGGUAGGCAUGGCUUGAACUCACAUGAAAUCCUAGAGUUUUGCUGCCAGCAGCUUUGCAGUUUGGGAAACAGAGAAACCAAAGCUGAGUAUUUUAAAGAAUGACUGUAUCUGGAAAUGACACUCAUCAAAGAUGUAGUUUUUCUCAGUGUUCUAAUUUUAAAUUUUUUAUCUGAAUAUUUGCAUCAAAUAUUUCUUUAUGUGGAAAAUGUAUGUUUUACCUCCUUAAAAUGCCUAAAAGUUAGUUACUAGCUACUUUGAAUUAAUCUAUACACAAUGAUUAAGUGCAUUUAAUAUUGGUAAUUUAAUGAAAAGCAUUCCUUGCCCAGUGGAUGUAUACAUUUUUGAAAGAAUAAAGCAGAAUUAUAUAAUACGAAAUGCUAUGUAAAGUUUUCUAUGUAAAAAUAAUAUGUAUAAUACUGUUAAAAUAUCCCAUGCUUUGAUCAGGUGGUAAAUCAAUAAAGUUUUCAAAAGUAAAGCUGUUUUUAAUGUAAUAGUAAUUGUACACAUCAAGCCAGUUUUCAGUUAGUUCGAAUUUGACCUCAUGGCAAACAUAAACUUGUAAUUUUCAAAUGACAGCAAAGCCCCUAUAUUUAACAAAAAUAAUUAUUCAUAGAAG
rnacentral:lncRNA from 1 species